UGAACGAUGGCGGCGUGCCUACUACAUGCAAGUCGAGCGAACGGACGAGAAGCUUGCUUCUCUGAUGUUAGCGGCGGACGGGUGAGUAACACGUGGAUAACCUACCUAUAAGACUGGGAUAACUUCGGGAAACCGGAGCUAAUACCGGAUAAUAUUUUGAACCGCAUGGUUCAAAAGUGAAAGACGGUCUUGCUGUCACUUAUAGAUGGAUCCGCGCUGCAUUAGCUAGUUGGUAAGGUAACGGCUUACCAAGGCAACGAUGCAUAGCCGACCUGAGAGGGUGAUCGGUCACACUGGAACUGAGACACGGUCCAGACUCCUACGGGAGGCAGCAGUAGGGAAUCUUCCGCAAUGGGCGAAAGCCUGACGGAGCAACGCCGCGUGAGUGAUGAAGGUCUUCGGAUCGUAAAACUCUGUUAUUAGGGAAGAACAUAUGUGUAAGUAACUGUGCACAUCUUGACGGUACCUAAUCAGAAAGCCACGGCUAACUACGUG
rnacentral:rRNA from 1 species